rnacentral:rRNA from 1 species
GACAGAGGUCCCGAGCGUUAGGCGGAAUCACUGGGCUUAAAGCGUGCGUAGGCGGCGGCCUAAGUCCCUUGUGAAAUCCCACGGCUCACCCGUGGAACUGCUCGGUAUACUGGGUCGCUUGAGCCACGUAGGGGCUACCGGAACAAAUGGUGGAGCGGUGAAAUGCGUAGAUAUCAUUUGGAACGCCAAUGGUGAAAACAGGUAGCUGGGAGUGUGCUGACGCUGAGACACGAAAGCCAGGGGAGCAAACGGG